CCUACGGGAGGCAGCAGUGAGGAAUAUUGGUCAAUGGGCGCGAGCCUGAACCAGCCAAGUAGCGUGAAGGAUGACUGCCCUACGGGUUGUAAACUUCUUUUAUAAAGGAAUAAAGUGAGGCACGUGUGCCUUUUUGUAUGUACUUUAUGAAUAAGGAUCGGCUAACUCCGUGCCAGCAGCCGCGGUAAUACGGUGGAUCCGUGCGUUAUCCGGAUUUAUUGGGUUUAAAGGGAGCGUAGAUGGGUUGUUAAGUCAGUUGUGAAAGUUUGCGGCUCAACCGGAAGAGUGCAAUUGAUACUGGGAGUCUUGAGUACAGGUGAGGUAAGUGGAAUUCGUGGUGUAGCGGUGAAAUGCUUAGAUAUAACGAAGAACACCAAUUGCGAAGGCAGCUUACUAAACUGCCACUGACAUUGAUGCUCGAAAGUGUGGGUAUCAAACAGGAUUAGAUACCCCGGUAGUC
rnacentral:rRNA from 1 species